rnacentral:rRNA from 1 species
AUUGAACGCUGGCGGCAGGCCUAACACAUGCCAGUCGAGCGAGCUGCGGACGGGUGAGUAAUGUAUGGGGAUCUGCCCGAUAGAGGGGGAUAACUACUGGAAAGGUGGCUAAUACCGCAUACUAUCGGAUGAACCCCUAUGGGAUUAGCUAGUAGGUGGGGUAAAGGCUCACCUAGGCGACGAUGCGUAGCUGGUUUGAGAGGACGACCGGCCACACGGGGACGGAGACACGGCCCAGACUCCUACGGGAGGCAGCAGUGGGGAAUUGUGGACAAUGGGGUAAACCCUGAUCCAGCCAUCCCGCGUGUGCGAUGAAGGCCUUCGGGUUGUAAAGCACUUUUGGCAGGAAAGCGGUACCUGCAGAAUAAGCACCGGCUAACUACGUGCCAGCCGCCGCGGUAAUAC